UCACAUUUAUUAGGAUGUGUGC
rnacentral:miRNA from 1 species